rnacentral:rRNA from 1 species
CUUUACUGUAACUUGAAAUUGAAAUUGGACUUUAUUCGCGCAGUAUAGGUGGGAGGCGUUGAUUAUAAUCUUGUGGGAUUAUUGGAGCCAUCAGUGAGAUACCACUCUUGUAAUGUUAGAUUUCUAACUUUGAAUCAUGAUCUGGUCAAAGAACAGUUUCAGGCGGGCAGUUUGACUGGGGCGGUCGCCUCCUAAACGGUAACGGAGGCGUACAAAGGUUUCCUCUGAACGGGUAGAAAUCGUAUCUAGAGUGUGAAGGCAUAAGGAAGCUUGACUGUGAGACCUACAAGUCGAGCAGGGACGAAAGUCGGUCUUAGUGAUCUGACGGUACUGAGUGGAAAGGCCGUCACUCAACGGAUAAAAGUUA